rnacentral:rRNA from 1 species
CUACGGGCGGCUCCAGUGGGGAAUAUUGCACAAUGGGCGCAAGCCUGAUGCAGCCAUGCCGCGUGUAUGAAGAAGGCCUUCGGGUUGUAAAGUACUUUCAGCGGGGAGGAAGGGAGUAAAGUUAAUACCUUUGCUCAUUGACGUUACCCGCAGAAGAAGCACCGGCUAACUCCGUGCCAGCAGCCGCGGUAAUACGGAGGGGUGCAAGCGUUAAUCGGAAUUACUGGGCGUAAAGCGCACGCAGGCGGUUUGUUAAGUCAGAUGUGAAAUCCCCGGGCUCAACCUGGGAACUGCAUCUGAUACUGGCAAGCUCGAGUCUCGUAGAGGGGGGUAGAAUUUCAGGUGUAGCGGUGAAAUGCGUAGAGAUCUGGAGGAAUACCGGUGGCGAAGGCGGCCCCCUGGACGAAGACUGACGCUCAGGUGCGAAAGCGUGGGGAGCAAACAGGAUUAGAUACCCCUGUAGUC